GACGAACGCUGGCGGCGUGCUUAACACACGCAAGUCGAACGGUAAGGCCCUUCGGGGUACACGAGUGGCGAACGGGUGAGUAACACGUGGGUGAUCUGCCCUGCACUUCGGGAUAAGCCUGGGAAACUGGGUCUAAUACCGGAUAGGACCACUGCCUGCAUGGGUGGUGGUGGAAAGGUUUUGCGGUGUGGGAUGGGCCCGCGGCCUAUCAGCUUGUUGGUGGGGUGAUGGCCUACCAAGGCGACGACGGGUAGCCGGCCUGAGAGGGUGACCGGCCACACUGGGACUGAGAUACGGCCCAGACUCCUACGGGAGGCAGCAGUGGGGAAUAUUGCACAAUGGGCGCAAGCCUGAUGCAGCGACGCCGCGUGAGGGAUGACGGCCUUCGGGUUGUAAACCUCUUUCAGCACCGACGAAGCGCAAGUGACGGUAGGUGCAGAAGAAGGACCGGCCAACUACGUGCCAGCCGCCGCGGUAA
rnacentral:rRNA from 1 species